AGAGAUUGGAAAAGGAAAAAAAAAAAAAAAAGAGGGAGAUGAAUCAAAAGAAAUAGUGUUUGGUUGUGCUAGAUCAGAGAAGUGACGGAGGGCCCAAUACUCGCCGGAUCAUGCCAUGCACCGACAGUACUGUUUGUGGAUGCGUUCCAAUAAAUUGAAGGAUCUGAUGAUGAGAAGCCAAUUUGCUCUAUUUGAUUCUGGCAUGGCAUAUUCCAGGUCAACCUGCUUUGGUCUUGUUCAAUUUUCACUUCUUUCAUAGAGAUCCCGGAUUCACUAUUGCCACUCAUUUGCAGGUCUUCGAAAGGUGUUAAGGCCUGAAGGUGGUUAGGAGCUCUAGUAUCUUUGACACUGAACUUUUGCUGGUGAAAGCUAGAGGAAAGCAAAGUAGCCAUGGUUGGAGAAGUUGUGUUGGUGGAAGAAGUAGAACCAAAGAUGGAAUAAUUUGGAAGUAGUGAACUUGAAGUGACCACAUCUUGGAUUUGCUUAGCGGGGUUAAAGACAUUAGCUUCACUUGUCAUGAUUCCUGAUGAAAACCCUAAAGCAAGAGCAUUCAGCUGAGGUUGGAGAUCAUACCCAGAAACAGUAUCCACACUUGACGAGACUCUUGAAUUGAACCUUCCAGGAAAUGGGAGAUUCAUCUCAGAUGGGUUAGUGGGUAACCCAUAAAACAAAGGAUUGAUGUGAUUUGAAGUUGAAGAAAUAUCGAUUUGGGUUUGAGAAGGAGUGUUAGGGUUAUCACUAGAGACUGAAGUAGCUCCUUCAACGGCAGAUGCAGCCCUCUUCUUACGCUUGUUCUUUCUGCAUCCACCACCCACAGGAACAUUCCUCAAGGUUCCACCUCUGGUCCAAUAUCGUUUGCAAGCUUUGCAAAAGUGCCUGGGCUGGGAU
rnacentral:misc_RNA from 1 species